rnacentral:rRNA from 1 species
GACAGAGGCCUCAAGCGUUAGGCGGAAUCACUGGGCUUAAAGCGUGUGUAGGCGGAUCGUUAAGUACCUUGUGAAAUCCCACGGCUCAACCGUGGAACUGCUGGGUAUACUGGCGGUCUUGAGCCACCUAGGGGCGAGCGGAACAAACGGUGGAGCGGUGAAAUGCGUAGAUAUCGUUUGGAACGCCAACGGUGAAAACAGCUCGCUGGGGGUGUGCUGACGCUGAGACACGAAAGCCAGGGGAGCGAACGGG